rnacentral:rRNA from 1 species
AUGACCCAGCUACAUUGCCGGCGGCCGAGCAAGCACAGCCAGCAUGUCCAGCGAGAGAGCGAGUUUCUCAACAACAACAACAAAAUCCAGCGAGAGAGGGGGACAGAAAUUCCCAACACUAAUCCUAACCCUAACCCACGAGGAGAGAUCGGCGAGAGAGAUCCAGCGAUGGGCUACGAGGGUUUUCUCUUCACCCCGUUCCAGGCGGAGGCGUUCGUCAGGGCCACCAGGGCGGAGCCGGAGAAGGAAGCGGCGAUCCUCAAGGCCAAGGAGGAGGCGGAGGCGGACCAGGAGCAGGCGUCCCUCAAGGCCAAGGCGGGGAAGGAGCCGGGGUGCGGCUCCAAGAGGAAGGCGGAGGAGGGCCACGAGGAG